rnacentral:rRNA from 1 species
AUGAACGCUAGCUACAGGCUUAACACAUGCAAGUCGAGGGGCAGCAUCAUCAAAGCUUGCUUUGAUGGAUGGCGACCGGCGCACGGGUGAGUAACACGUAUCCAACCUGCCGACAACACUGGGAUAGCCUUUCGAAAGAAAGAUUAAUACCGGAUGGCAUAGUUUUCCCGCAUGGGAUAAUUAUUAAAGAAUUUCGGUUGUCGAUGGGGAUGCGUUCCAUUAGGCAGUUGGCGGGGUAACGGUCCACCAAACCUACGAUGGAUAGGGGUUCUGAGAGGAAGGUCCCCCACAUUGGAACUGAGACACGGUCCAAACUCCUACGGGAGGCAGCAGUGAGGAAUAUUGGUCAAUGGACGAGAGUCUGAACCAGCCAAGUAGCGUGAAGGAUGACUGCCCUAUGGGUUGUAAACUUCUUUUAUACGGGAAUAAAGUGAGCCACGUGUGGCUUUUUGUAUGUACCGUAUGAAUAAGGAUCGGCUAACUCCGUGCCAGCAGCCGCGGUAAUACGGAGGAUCCGAGCGUUAUCCGGAUUUAUUGGGUUUAAAGGGAGCGUAGGCGGGUUGUUAAGUCAGUUGUGAAAGUUUGCGGCUCAACCGUAAAAUUGCAGUUGAUACUGGCGACCUUGAGUGCAACAGAGGUAGGCGGAAUUCGUGGUGUAGCGGUGAAAUGCUUAGAUAUCACGAAGAACUCCGAUUGCGAAGGCAGCUUACUGGAUUGUAACUGACGCUGAUGCUCGAAAGUGUGGGUAUCAAACAGGAUUAGAUACCCUGGUAGUCCACACAGUAAACGAUGAAUACUCGCUGUUGGCGAUAUACAGUCAGCGGCCAAGCGAAAGCAUUAAGUAUUCCACCUGGGGAGUACGCCGGCAACGGUGAAACUCAAAGGAAUUGACGGGGGCCCGCACAAGCGGAGGAACAUGUGGUUUAAUUCGAUGAUACGCGAGGAACCUUACCCGGGCUUAAAUUGCAACUGACGGAACCGGAAACGGUUCUUUCUUCGGACAGUUGUGAAGGUGCUGCAUGGUUGUCGUCAGCUCGUGCCGUGAGGUGUCGGCUUAAGUGCCAUAACGAGCGCAACCCUUACGGGUAGUUACCAUCAGGUUAUGCUGGGGACUCUACCCGGACUGCCGUCGUAAGAUGUGAGGAAGGUGGGGAUGACGUCAAAUCAGCACGGCCCUUACGUCCGGGGCUACACACGUGUUACAAUGGGGGGUACAGAAGGCAGCUACACGGCGACGUGGUGCUAAUCCCAAAAGCCUCUCUCAGUUCGGAUUGGAGUCUGCAACCCGACUCCAUGAAGCUGGAUUCGCUAGUAAUCGCGCAUCAGCCACGGCGCGGUGAAUACGUUCCCGGGCCUUGUACACACCGCCCGUCAAGCCAUGAAAGCCGGGGGUACCUGAAGUACGUAACCGCGAGGAGCGUCCUAGGGUAAAACUGGUGAUUGGGGCU